rnacentral:rRNA from 1 species
UCCAGCUCCAAUAGCGUAUAUUAAAGUUGUUGCAGUUAAAAAGCUCGUAGUUGGAUUUCGGAAGGUCCUUAGCAAUCCGCCCCUUCGGGGAGCGGGUUGCUGGCCUCCUAUGUUCCUAACGGYCCUCAUCCGCGAGGGYGGGGAAUCAACCGCUAGGAUCGUUUACUUUGAGGAAAUUAGAGUGUUCAAAGCAGGCGUAACUCGCCUCCGAAUACGUUAGCAUGGGAUAAUGGAAUACGACUUCGGUCUUGUUUCGUUGGUUUCGCUUGGCUGAAGUAAUGAUUGAUAGGGACAGUUGGGGGCAUUAGUAUUUAGUUGUCAGAGGUGAAAUUCUAGGAUUUACUAAAGACUGACCAAUGCGAAAGCAUUUGCCAAGGAUGUUUUCAUUAAUCAAGAACGAAAGUAGGGGGAUCGAAGACGAUCAGAUACCGUCGUAGUCUCUACCGUAAACUAUGCCGACCAGGGAUCCGGAGAGUUUGCAUGGAUGACUCCCCGGGCACCUUGUGAGAAAUCAUAAGUGUUUGGGUUUUGGGGGGAGUAUGGUCGCAAGGCUGAAACUAAAGGAAUGACGACAGUAGAAUMAAGUU